rnacentral:rRNA from 1 species
CCUACGGGAGGCAGCAGUGGGGAAUAUUGCACAAUGGGGGAAACCCUGAUGCAGCGACGCCGCGUGAGUGAAGAAGUAAUUCGUUAUGUAAAGCUCUAUCAGCAGGGAAGAGUAGAAGACGGUACCUGUCGAAUAAGCCACGGCUAACUACGUGCCAGCAGCCGCGGUAAUACGUAGGUGGCAAGCGUUGUCCGGAUUUACUGGGUGUAAAGGGCGUGUAGCCGGGUUGACAAGUCAGAUGUGAAAUCCUGCGGCUUAACCGCAGAACUGCAUUUGACACUGGUGUUCUUGAGUACUGGAGAGGCAGACGGAAUUCGUAGUGUAGCGGUGAAAUGCGUAGAUAUUAGGAGGAACACCGGUGGCGAAGGCAGUCUGCUGGACAGCAACUGACGGUGAGGCGCGAAAGCGUGGGGAGCAAACAGGAUUAGAUACCCCUGUAGUC